GAUGAACGCUGGCGGCUUGCCUAAUACAUGCAAGUCGAGCGAACAGACGAGGAGCUUGCUCCUCUGACGUUAGCGGCGGACGGGUGAGUAACACGUGGAUAACCUACCUAUAAGACUGGGAUAACUUCGGGAAACCGGAGCUAUUCCCGGAUAAUAUAUUGAACCGCAUGUUUCAUUAUUGAAAGACGGUUUUGCUUUCACUUUUAGUUGGUUCCGCGCCGCAUUAGCUAGUUGGUAAGGUAACGGCUUACCAAGGCAACGAUGCGUAGCCGACCUGAGAGGGUGAUCGGCCACACUGGAACUGAGACACGGUCUAGACUCCUACGGGAGGCAGCAGUAGGGAAUCUUCCGCAAUGGGCGAAAGCCUGACGGAGCAACGCCGCGUGAGUGAUGAAGGUCUUCGGAUCGUAAAACUCUGUUAUUAGGGAAGAACAAAUGUGUAAGUAACUAUGCACGUCUUGACGGUACCUAAUCAGAAAGCCACGGCUAACUACGUG
rnacentral:rRNA from 1 species